UUUUUUUGGAUCGAAGAGCUAGCUUCAAGCUUUUUUUCAAGGUUACUAGUUCGGUUUCAUUAGAGGUUUUUUUUGAAGAUAGGAAAGAGGUAGCUUCAAGCUUUUUUUCAAGGUUACUAGUUUGGUGUCAUUAGAGGUUUUUUUUGAAAAUAGGAGAGAGCUAGCUUCAUGCUUCGGGAUCGGGGAAGAAAAGACAGAGAAUUGGAUUUUUCUUCUUCAUAGGGUUUUGGGAAGACUGAGGCAAUCGUUGCUGAAGUCAGUGUUAUAAUGGUGAAUCGAGAUUUUUAAUGAAGUGGGUUUGAUUACUCUUGACUGUUUUGUGAAAUUGAGUUACGUCUGUGAUUGAAGGAUUAAAAAGGUGUCUAUAGAAUUGAGUAUGCGGAGUGAAUGAAAUUUAUUAGGUUAAUCUAACAAGACAAUCAGUGGAUACAAGAUCGUAAGUACAAAGCGGUAUCGGAGAUUAGCAGAUUGGGUUGUUCGGGGUUCUCUGUAACGUCUAGAGACCUACCG
rnacentral:lncRNA from 1 species